rnacentral:tRNA from 1 species
GCGCCUGUAGCUCAGGGGAUAGAGCGGUGGCCUUCUAAGCCAACGGCCGGGGGUUCGAAUCCCUCCAGGCGCG